rnacentral:lncRNA from 1 species
AAAGGGAGUUUUUUCUCCUUCUCUCUUUUGGUUUGUAGAGAGAGUGAGUGAUGAGUGAAGGAUUUGUGUGUAGUAGUGCGUUAGUGUGAGCUUGUCCGCGUGAGGGAGGGAUGGUAGGUGUCCUCUUUUUAUUUCCUUUCCUUUCCUUUCGUUGCCAGCACACAAAUAUUUGUGGAGUGGAGAGAGAGACGGUUAGGGAGUGGGCGCCAGUUGUCCAUGAGAGAGAUGUGAGGAGUU